rnacentral:lncRNA from 1 species
UUGCAGAUGCCAGAUGGAAUGACACAGAUUAAGAGGUCAGGAGUGAUCAGUGUUUACAGCUGAACAGAGGGUGGGAGCACACGCUACAUCAGGCUCAGGAACCGGGGUUUCCUGAAUGCAGGUCUGAGCGCCGUUUGGAUCUGCACCUCCUCUCCCAUCUCUCCCUGACACCAGCUUCACAUCCUGAAGUUUAAACAAGGAGACAGCAUUAAACACACUCCAGCAGCUUCACAGAGGGGCUUUUGGAC